CCAUUUCAGGAUUUGGUUUUAGUUUGAUUCUAGGUCCUGCUCUCUGAAGCUUUUUUUUCUCAGUAAAUUAUGUGAGGUUUUUUAUUUAAGCAUGCAUUUAGGAAAAAGAUGGUGUAUAAAUAUUAAGUUAGUGUUCAAGAUUAGGCAGUACUGUAAUUUACAAUUGCUGUUAGUAACGGUUUCUUUCUGUUCUUAAAUUAGUACAUGUUUGCAGUACAUAAUGUUUACAUUCCUUGUAGGGAGUUGGUAUAAGUACUUAACACAUCUUUAUUCUUUUUCUCACCCCCUUUCCCUUUGUUCCCUCUACCCUCCCUCCAUCUCUUGAUCCCUUCUGCAUUUGAGAAAAUUCUUAUCUCACCACAUCUUAUCUAUCUUUUAUUUUGCUUUUUAUUUAUAAUUUUGAUUUCUCAGAGAAACCGUACAAUAUUUAUGCUUGUGUGUGUACGUAUCAAGGCCAUCCAUUUUCCUACAAAUAAUUUGUCUUUACGGCAGUGUAGUACACCAUUGUUUAUAAAUACCAUAUACCAUAUGGUAUAAGUACCAUAUUUUAAAAUCCAGUCAUCACUAAUACAUGUAUAGAUUGCUUCCAAAAUUUAGCUUUUGUGAAUUGUGCUACUAUAAACAUGAAUAUGCAUGUGUCGCUGUCAUAUGAUGUCUUUAGCUGUUUUGGGAAGACACCUAGAAAGGGAAGAGCUGGAUCAAAUGGACUUGUUUGUGAAAUCUUACUGUUGUUUUAAUUUGUGUUUCUCUAAUGGUCAGCAAUGUUUGAGCAUUUCUUUACAUAUUUACUGACCACUUGUACUUCUGUGAAGUGACUAUUUCACUUGCCCAUUUUUUUGACUUGAACUUCUAUUUUGGGGGAGUCUAAUUUUUUUAGUCCUAUCUAUGUUCUAGAUAUUGAUCCUGUGUCUGAGGUACAGUUGGCGAACAUUUUUCGUAUUUUGUAGUUUGUCUUUCCACUCUGUUGUUUGUUUCUUUGCCGUGCAGAAGCUUUUUAAUUCUUAAUGAUCUAAUUUGUUGACUGUGGGUGCUAUGUCCUGUACAGUGAGGGUUCUUUUCAGAAAGUCAUUGAUUACCGUAUGCCUGUGACUUCAAGAGUUUUACCUAUUUUGUCUUCCGACAGUUUAAUGUUUCUGUUUUAACAUUUAGUUCUUUGAUAUAUUUUGAUUUUAGUUUAGUUUGAGUUUAUGGUGAGAGAAUAUUAAUCUAAGGUUCAGCACUCUGCCUGUGCUAACUAGUGUUCCGAAAGACAUUUUUAAAAGAGGCUGUCUUUCCUCUAGUAGAUGUCUUUGGUCCCUUUGUCAAAGAUCAAAUAAUUGAAUAUGCUUGAAUAAGCUAGAUUUACCUCUACCAUAGUAUUAACUAUGGAGAUAAUGAGUUUCUACACAGCGCGUGACAGAGAGGUUAGGACAUUAAAGUUAAGGCUGCUUCAUGCUUUUAUUUAGGGGCCUGAUGUUUAAAUCCUUCUUUAAAGUCAAAACACACCAGGUAACACAUGUCAUCCUGGAGAACUCCUUCCAUUUGCAAUUAGAAAUGGGGAUGUUGAGAUAUUUCCCCUUCAGCCGUUCAACAAAGUCUGUAAAGUGAGGCCCCAACUCCAGGAUCCAGCAGAGCUGAUUUAGAUAGGUAAAGGCCAGCCCAGAAGAGUUGUGUGGUUAUCACAGCCCUAAAUGGAUGAGGUUGGAUGCCUUGUUAUGAAAUGAUGAGUCAUGAUUAUAGCAGAAAUCUUCCUCUUGAACCUCUGGAGUCUAGUGGAUGGAGGGAGGCUUGUCAAAAAAAAAAAAAGUCAAGAGCUUGACUUAUUCAAGAUUACUGAUCAUGGAAAUGGGAACAAAUGUCUCUCAGAGCAGAGGGAGAAAGAAGAUGGUCUUGCUCCCAACAAAGACUUUGCCACUGGCAAAGUCUGCUCUUCUCUGGGUUUUCUAAUUUCUGAUAGUAUUUUAGAGAUCUGAAUGCUAAGGUUCUAAGAAAGUAAAUAACCUGAUGUGUUGAAAUUUAUGUGCAGAAAGUUCACAUAUUAAACACUCUGCAACUAGAAAAUUCUUUUUAAAAGGUUUGUAGAUGUGAAUUAUAUGCAUAAUUGUAAAUAUCUUACAAGACAUGGAUUUCAUUUCAUGCCGAUUAGGUCACUCUUUUCUGAAAACAGACACAAUGGUGUUUAAUACCAUUUCUGGAGAAUAGCAGUGAGAUGCUUAUAUCCUUGCUAAAACUUGGCUGAGUGGAGGAAGCAUAGAUUCUUUGCAUACUUGCGUAAUUCACAAACGUCACUGAGGCCUUUAACUGAGAUUUCUGUGCUGCUUUCUUUCCACUGUUCUUAAAAUAGGACAGCUAAGUUGCAGGUUUUAAAAAAAUAAUUAUUUGGUGAUGUUAGUUGAACAAAUUACUGGUUUUGCUGUGGCAUUUCCAUACACACACAUGUCAUUUUUUGGUCAUAUGCACUCUCCUCCACCCUUCCUUUCUCUUUCUGGCUCGCCUUUUCUCUUCCCUUCCUAAGCAUCAGAUUUUAAAAAUAGUGUUGAAGUAUAAUUGACAUACAAUAUAUACGACAUAUUUAAACUGUCAUUUUUCCUUCCCAGUCUCCUACACCUAAGCAACUAGUGAUCUACUGUCUUUAGGUUAAAUCUUUAUUUUCUGAAGAUUUAUAUAUAAAGAGAAUCAUAAUCUAUGUCCUGGUGUUGCUUGGUUUCUUUCACUCACUGUAAUUAUUUUUCAAUUUGUCCUGUAUAUUCCUUUUUUUUUUUUUUUUUUUGGUAAGUCUACGCCAUUGUAUUGAUGUGUUGCAAUUUGGUUAUCCACCAUCUGUUGGACUGUGGAUUGUCCCGUCACAUUCAGUUUCACGUUAUUUCCAGUAGAGCUACUAUAAAGGUUUGUGAUCAGGGAAAUAUAUAUGAACAUAUAUUGCUAUAACCCAUGCGGCUCUUGAGGUUCUUGGGGUGAAGGGCUGCAAGAGGAUGAGAUACUAAUGAAGACACAAAGCUGGGGUCAGGUGGAGCACAAACCUCCAUCAGGAGGAAAGAUACUGGCUCCUCACUGCAGGGGCAUUGAUUUAUACAUUUUAGCAACUUAAUGUCAACAUGACACCUUGUUGUAUUAGCAACUCACUGUUCAGAUUGUCCUGGGGGUAGGUGUUCUCUGGGCUGAGGAGCUUCUUCAAGUGGCUUGCCCCAGGUGCUCUUUGUUCUUGGGAUGAUCAUGCCCCAGCCUUGCAUGUGUGGCUAAUUUCCAGCUUCAACCACUUCCAACAAUACAUUUCUUUUUUUCUUGGGUAAAUAUCAGAGAGUAGAUGACUGGAUCAUAUGGUAGAUGUAUGUUUAAUUUUCUAAGAAUUUCUUAUGUUAUUUGCCAGUGGUUGAACAGUUUUGCAUUCCGAUACAGAAUAUGAGAACUCCAAUUUCUCUGCAUUCUCAUCAACCUUGGUAUUUUUAUUUAUAUUUUUUGUUGUUGUUUGUUUUUGAGACAAGGUCUUACAGUGUAGUUCAGACUGGCCUUGAACUCACUAUGUAGCUCAGACUGGCUUUGAACUUGUGGCAACCCUCCUGCCUCAGCCUCCCGAAUGCUAGGAUUAUAGGUGUGUGAAGUGAGUUCAUGAACAGUAAUAGGAAUCUAAGCAGCCAAACUGAUAAAUUUGGAAUUAAAUUAGCUGAGCUCAGUGAUCACUCGCAUAGAGACCCCUGUUUCAGAGUCCCACUAAAUGGCACUGAACUGGAAAGUUACAGAGCUUUUAAAACAGAAAACCACAAAAAGACAUCCUGGAAACAGUUUAGCUAGAAUCCUACAUUAAAUUUUGGUUGACACCUGUAUCCUGCUUCUUUGUUGAGCAGGUUAAUUUUUCUCUUGUGGUACAGCUCAUUCUGCUUUUCUCAUGGGACUUGUACCUUAAGUAAUUUUACGUUCUCCUGAGUCAAAUACAGGGUACUAGUUAAAUGUAGGGCUCAAGAGGUGUCAAUGUGUAGCACUAUAUCUGACCAAAAAUUUGGUAUUUUUUAAAAUUCUAGUUAUUCUAGUGAUUUGUAGUUACUUCUUGUAAAAAAUCAAUUUUACUUAUACAUUUUAGGUAUACAUAAUGAUAGCAUUCAUCGUAAGGAAUUUGUAUCUGUACAUGAUAUAUCUUAAUGUUUCCCAUUCUCUUUUCUCCCUUCAAUCCCUCUUCCCAUCCUUAUUUACAAAAGCAGUGUUUCUAUUUGUACUUUUUUUUUGGUACCAGGAGUCAAACUCAUGAUCUUGUGCUUCUAGGCAAGCACUUGAGCCACUGAGCUAACUCCCUAGCCCUCCAUUUUUUUUCUGUUCUCUUUUUUCUUUUACCUUUGUUUGUGUCCCCUUUCCCCCUCCUUAGUUCCCCUUCCUAUUUGAACAUUUUCUUCCUAUUUCACAAUGUCUAUUAUAUGUUUUUGGUCCAUAUCUAUAUUUAUUUUAUACUUUUGAUUUCUCACACUGAUGUGUGUCCAAUUUAUUUCACUUAAGAUGACAGUCACAAUGUAUGUACUGUUGUUACUGCCAAUUGAUGUGCUUUAAAACUUUGUUGUAGUUUUUUCCUGCGUCUUCUUUUUCCUUAUAAGAAUAAAAUGGAUUUGAAAAAAAAAGAAUAGGAUCUUGAUGGCCUGGAGAUAUAGCUCAGUGGUAUAAGUGGCUGCCCAGCAAGCACAAGGUCUUGAGUUUCAAUCUUGGUAUCAAAAGAAAAAAAAAGAAUAUGGUCUUGAGGUGUAUCCAUUUAGGUAGAAAUGUCUCGAGCUUUUCUUUCUUUAGGGCAGAGUAGUACUCCAUUGUAUAAAAAAAACCCAUACCUUCUUUAUUCAUUCAUUGAUUGAUGGGCUUUUGUUUCCAAGAUUUAAUUAUUACAAACUGCUGCUCAAAGCAAAAUUGUGCAUAUAUUAUUGUGGUUUGAUGCUUUUGUUUAUUCCAGGAAAAUACCAAGAAGGGGAAUAGCUGGUUCAAAUGGAACCUCUAGUUUUAGUUUUUUGAAGAAUCUUCAUACUGAUUUAUUGGGAACCUGACCAAGAGUCCUGAUUGUCAAUAUCAGGAACCCGGCCAUAAGUUCUGACUGUCAGUCUCAAGAAUGCAAGAAAUGCAAAUUCAAGAAAAAAAUAAAAGUAUAAGACACAAGUGUAUUAUUCCAUCAAUGGGAAGUCAAUGUCUCUGGAUCAAUCUCCUUCACUCCCAAAGCAGCCACUAUUUAUUUAGUGUAUACAGUGAUAUGUGGAGCUAGUAAAGGAUUACGAUUCAUCAAGACAGAGGCUCAAGAGUACGUAGAUAAUCUUAUGCAUGGAAGUAUCUUGACCUUGAGUAUAAUUCUGAGAUAAUUUAGGAAUGAUAGAUGAUCUUAUGCUUAAAACAGUCAAUGGGAAAUCUCAGAUGAGUGGUACCAAUAAUCCCUUUCCUUCCCUUUAUCCCAGAGGGAAAUAUGCAGAAUUACCUAUAGGGAGAUGUGCAGAAUUUGUGGUUCCCAACAUUGAUUUCCACAGUGGUUUCACCAGUCUACACUCCCACCAACAGUGGAGAAAAGUUCCUUUUUCCACACAGCCCCGGCGGUUAAAUUUUUCCAUAUAUUUACUUGCCAUUUCUACUUCUUCAUCUGAGAAGUAUAUAUUCACUUCUUCAGAUGCCAAUUUUUGGAUUGGGUCUUUAAAUUUGGAAUGUCUGAUAUUUUUGAGUUCUUUAUAUAUAUUCUAGAUAGUAGUCCUUAAUCUGAGAUGCAGAUGGCAAAAUUUUUUUUCCACACUUGGGUUUUCUCUUCAGUUUGUUGGUGGUGGUUGUUGCUAUUCAAAAAAUUUUUAGUAAGAUUAAAUCCAGGUUGUUGGUUCUUUGUGGUAUUUCCUGUGUAAUCGGGGUUUUGUUCAUAAAGUUUUUGCCUAUACCUAAUCCUUCAAGAGUUAGCCAUUCUGUUUUCCAAUAGAUUUACUGUUCUGUUUUAAUAUUUAGAUCUUUGAUUCAUUUUAUUUUUUAGUGCAUAGUAAAAGACAGGGAUUUAGUUUUAAUCUUUGGCAUGUGGAAAGACAGUUUUUCCAGUACCAUUUAUUAAUUAAAGAGUCUUAUCUUUCCUCCAGUGAAGGUGAUUGGCUUCUUUGUCAAAGAUAAGGUGGCUGAGCAUGUUUGGAGUUGUUCCUAAGUAUUCUAGUAUGUUGCAUUGAUCUUCAGGUCUGUUAUUUUGCUGUUACCAUGUUUUUUAAACACAGUAGUUUUGUCAUACGAUUUCAAGUCAGAAAUUGUGAUGCCCCCUGCCUUUGGUGGCUGGCAUUAGUUUUGCUUUGUAGGUCUCUUCUGGUUCCACACAUUUAGGAGUAUUUUCUCUAAUUCUGUGAGGUAUGCUAUUGGUAUUUUGAUUGGGAUUGCAUUAAAUCUGUAUAACAAUUUUGGAAGUGUGGACAGUUUCACUAUAUUCAUUCUUCCUACACAAGAACAGGGAUAUUGUUCCAUGUUCUGAUAUCUUCUUCAGUCUACUUUUUGUAUUUUUCAAUAUAAAGGUCUUUUACUGCAUUAGAUUGAUUCCUAGGUAUUUCGUCUUUUGAGAUGCUAAUGUGAAAGUUAUUCCCCUGGUUUCUCUCAGUGAGUUUGUUAUUUGUGUAUAGAAAUUGACUUUUGAGUGUUGACUUUGUAUCCAGGUAUUCUACUAAAUUUGGCCAUUGAAUCCGGAGGUGUUUUGGUAGUUUUUUUUUUUUUGAGUCUAUGUAGAGUAGCGUGCCAUUUGCAAAUAAUGAUAAUUUUACUUCUUUCCUCCCUAUCCUUAUUUCUUUCUCUUCUCUAAUUGCUCAGGCUAAUGUUUCCAGAACUAUAUUGAAUAAGAGUAGUGACAGCAAAAUACUUGUCUUGUUUCUAAUUUUAAAGUGAAAGCUUUCACUUUCUGUCCAUUUAGUAUGAUGUUAUCUGUUGGUUUGUCAUAGGUGGCUUGUACCAGAUUGAAAUAAAGACUAAUCCUAUUUUCUGUAAGGUUUUGAUCAUAAAUGGGUAUUGAUUUGUGAAAAGCUUUUUCUGCAUCUAUUAAGAUAGUUCUAUGGUUUUUGUCCUUGAGUCUGUUAAUAUGGUAUAUUACAUUUAUUGACUUAAACAUAUUGAGCCAUCUCUGCAUCCCUGGGAUGAAUCCGAUUCGUCAUGGUGUAUAAUUUUUUGAUGAUUUGAUCCUGUUAUGGAUUAAAGACAUAGUGAACUUAAUACCAGCUAAAUUAAAUCACCAUGGUGCUGAACAUAGAUGGUCCACCUGAAGAAAGUUGCCAGCAUAAAUAGAAAUGUGGAGAAGGAGAAAGGAGGUGUUGUGGCUUCCGCUAAGUGUUGCUGUUUGAGCUGUUGGUUCUGCUGGAGGAGUUCAUUAUGACUAGCUUCCCCAGUGUGAGUUCGACCAUUGUCAUUGGAGGAGCUUGGGACCUUGUUGGUGAGAGUGGCUGUGGUUUACUUUAGGGGAGCUCUGGUCCUUACAUCUAGCAUUGCUUCCGGGCUCCAAUGGGGAGGGCGCAUACCUUGUAAUUUUCAGGACAAACUCCUCAUGCUGGCUUUCUGGCAUGUACUCAACUGUUCUUAUUGUUGGAGGAGUUUGGGACUGCCGUGUUGCUGAGGAUGUCUGUGGUGCUUUUCAGAACAACCCUGAUCUGUAUUAUGAGAGUGACUUCCUGGCUCUGGUGUAGAACCCUCAACCUGCCAGCACAUCUCCUUCAUCCUGUUGGCAUAGACUAUCUAGAUUCCACCGCUGACCUUUGGGUCUUCCCAGCGUGGAUCUAUAAAACAGACUGGCAUGUGUCCUUUUUGUGGGCUCUAGACCUCCAGCUGGACUUGUGGGAGGCAUUGUCAUGGGCUCUAGGUUUUCAUCUGGACUCAUGCAGGACAUUGCUAUGGGAUCCAGGCCCUUGGCUGAAUAUUCUGUCUUUAGUGUUGUGGAUAGAUUUCCUACACUUUCUUAUGUUUUACUCUGGGUGACCAUCAUAAAAUAGUAUUAUAAAUUCUGUGUCCUGAUUCUAACUGUUCUCCUCACAACUCCUGAAUACAACAGAUGCGUUCUGUUUGCUAUUAUGUUACUGAGAAUUUUUGCAUCUAUGUUUAUUAGAGACAUUGGCCUAAAGCUCUCUUUCUUAGUUGGAUUAUUUCUUUGGUUUUAGUAUCAGGAUAAUGCUUGCUUCCAGGAAUGAAUCUGGCAGAAUUACUUCCCUUUCAAUUUCAUUACAGAAUUUGAGAAGUAGUGGUACUAGGUCUUCUUCAAAUUUAAUGUAGAAUUCAGUAGUGAAUCUGUCAGAGUCUGGGCUUUCUUGUGUUGGUAGGUUUUUAAUUAUAUCUUCAAUUUCAUUGAUUGAUACUGGCUUAGUUAGGAUUUUAUACCUUCUUGAUUCAGCUUUGGUAAUUCACACAUAUUUAGGAAUCUCUUCAUUUCUUCUGCAUUUUCUAACUUAUUAGAAUAUAGGUCUCAGCGUAUGUAUUGAUGAUCUGAAUUUCCACAGGGUCUGUUGUGAUUUCACCCUUUUCAUUCCUAAUUUCAUGGAGUUGAGUUUUUUCUUCUUUUUUUUGAUAAGAUUGGCUAAGAGUUUGCCAAUUUUAUUUAAUCUUGCAAAGAACCAACUCUUAGAUUGAUUCUUUGUGUUUUCUUUUAGUCUCCAGUGUGUUAAUCUCGGCUCUGAUUUUAUAAUUUCCUCCCUCAUACAAACUUUUGGCUUAGCCUACUCUUUUUUUUUCUGGAAGUUUAAGGUUCACCAUUAAGUUGUUUAUUUGCAAUUGCUGUGUUUUUCUGGUAUGGAUAUUCACUGCUAUAAAUUCCCUUGUAGGACUGCUUUCAUCAUGUCCUAUAAGCUCUGGUAUGUUGUAUUGUCAUUAUCAUUUAAUUGUAGAAACUGUCUAAUUUCUUCUUUAAUUUCAUCUAUGACCCAUUGAUUGUUCAGGAGGGUGCUAUUUAAUUCCCACGUGUUUUUUGUGAUUUCUUUUGCCAUUGAUUUCCAAUUUUAUUGUACUUUAGUCUGGUAAUAUGCAUGGAAUAAUUUUAGCUCAUUUGCAUUUACUUAAGCAUUAUCUAUGAGCUAGUAUGUUGUCUGCUUUGAAGAAUGUCCCAUGUGCAGCUGAGAAGAAUGUGUAUUUUGAUAUUGUAAGGUGGAACACUCUUUAAACAUCUCCUAAGUCUGUUUGUUCAAAUGUUUGGUUCAGUUCCAGUAUUUAGUUAUUGGUUUUUUCUAGUUGAUCUGGUUUUUUAUGCCAGGGGGUUUUGAGAUCCCCCAAUACAAUUGUAUCUGAGAUUAUUUGAUUUUUUAUGCUCAUUAAUAUUUGUUUUAUAUAGUUGGGUGCACUGGUAUUUGUUGUAUAUAUAUUUAUGAUUUUAUCUCUUCUUGAAUUGUUCCUUUUACAAGGAUGUAGUGACCUUCUUUGUGUCUCAUAAUCAGUCUUGGCUUGAAAUUCACUUUGCUUGCUUUUUUUCUGGGUUCCUAUCUCAUGGAGCAUUGUUUUCCAUCCUUUGAUGUUCAGACUAUAAAUUUCUUUUUGAAUUAAAUGUGUUUAUUGUAUGCAACAUAUUGUUGGAUCUUGCUUCUUGAUCAUUCUGCCAGUCUGUGUCUUUUGAUCAGUGAAUUGAGAUCAUUAACAUUGAUGGUUAUUACUGAUAGGUAUUGGCUUAUUCUUGUCAAUGGAAUAUUUAGUCUCCUGGAUAUCUGUUUGAAUCUGUUUCAUGGAUUCCAUUUCUUUCCUAUGUUGGGCGGUCAUAGUUUCCAUCAUUUUCCUAAGCUCCUCUAUUUUUCUAAAUAAAUCUGUAUCUUCCCCAGAUUCACUAAUCAUGCCCUUCAUUGUAGUCAUCAUCUCUAUAUCUCUAUAGGUAUCUGAGGAAUUCUUUCUUUCUUUUUUUUUUUUUUUGUCUUUUUCAUUUUUAUCAGGUCCAGGGAUCGAACUCAUGACUGCCUGCUUGCAAGGCAGGCGCUUAUGCCGCUGAGCUAAAUCCCCAGCCCCUGAGGAAUUAUUUCUUAUUUGGGUUUUUCUGUAGCCUCAUUCCCUUGCGUUCUUGCUUUCACUGUUACUACUUUAGAGAGUUUAGGGGUGGCUUAAGAAUUGUUCCACCAGAUUUUUCCCUGGGUUUGGUGAGUUGAAAAUCUGCUGUUAAAUCUUACUAAAGUGUCUUCUAAUUUUCUGUUUUAUUGUUUUUUCAGUUUCAUUCCUAUGUUGAUGCUUGUAAGUUGUUUAUGCCAAGUAUCUUUUAUUACUAGUAUUGAGAGCCAUUAGGAAAUGACUGUUUCUCUGAGAUGUCUACAAGAUGUAGCUUGUUUUGGCUGUUGAGUCUUUUGCAAGAUCCUACCUCUUCAAUUUACUUAGGAUGAGAAAUUGCUGUCUAUUUUACUCAAUUCAUGAAGAAGAUAAAAGUUGCAAGAGAUAAAAGCUUACUUUUCAGAACAAAGCUGGUUUCAGGAAAUUUCACCUGAAAUCAGCAUUAAAAUUUAUUACCUACUCCCAUUGUGAACUGUGGUCUACGAAAACUUCUCAGGUGUUCACCUAUAAAAUAAUACCAAGAUAAUUUCCAGAUGUCCAGCAAAGAAGUAAAAACUGUUCCUAAAAGUACAAGAGAUGCAAUCAGAGACACAGAAUAUGAAAAAGUUUUGAAACAUUAUAAGACAAUGUUAAAACAAGAGAAAAAUAACUAUAACUGUUGGGAGCCGCAGCCCCGAGCCCGGUCGCCUUACUUGGCGGACGUGAGGCCUGUGGUAAAGAGCAAAGCCUGAGUUAGAUUACCCCUCCCAUCGAGCACGUUAGUUUCCUGCUUACCGCGUAAGCAACCCGCUCAACAAUAUAGUCUGCCUGGCAACUGAUGAUGUUAGCCAAUCAGCUUGCCUUGCUUACUUUAACAUGAUUGGACACUGUAUCCGUAUAUAUACUGGUGCCACCCCUGGGGGGGAAGAAGAAGCCCGGAAGUAGAAGCCUAGAAGGAGCCGCGGGGAGCGGACCAAAGGAGGCUUCGGCUGGGAGCGAUCCCAGGGCAGGCUGUACGGAGAAGAAAAAUAAAAGAAAAGGUUGUCCACUGCCAGACUUUGUCGUGUGUCCUUCCUGCCGGCCGGGAGCGACAUCGACAUUUGGAGGCCCGCACGGGGACUGAUCACCCCCGAGACGUGACAGCGGACAACGCUCCAGUACAGAGCUGCGAGACAGGAAUCGGGACGAGAACCACUGUGGGUACCGGAGAGACUGACACGGGCGACAAAGCCCUCGACUGAAGAUCAGACCUGCCCUACCGGAGAUCCAUCACAGACCAACCAACAAGAUGAAUAGAAAUAGCGGUAGCCCAAAAUGGACAAAAAGAUCCUCAGGCAUAUGCAUGGCUCGCUCGCCUAGCCUACGACCGAGUCUAGGGGCGGUGAGCUUCCCACACUCCUCCUCUAAAAAAUUAUGACAUAGCUGGGUAGGAGAGUCAAUGACGGGUAAGAGCGUACUCCCCCGGUGCGACUCAACCUAAGCCAGGCCCUACCCCAUCCUGCACGUAAGCCGCUGGACUGUUAGAUGCUGCCCAGGUCUAAAUUUCUCUCCGAGGGGAUUUCUUUACGGAGAGAAAAUGAGUGCAAGCUUGUGUGCAUCCAGGUUCCGUCCAGUUUGUGCCUGGCCCUAGAAAAAGGACGAGGGCCUCAGGGCCUUGACAGACCAUGGGACGGCCGACCAGGGUCUAAGCCAAGGACCUACGGUGGGCCUACACAUAGGGCAUAAGCCUCUGCACCCAGUCCAGGAAGGGCUACGAUGCGCACAUUCAUAAAAAAUAAAAAAGGGGGAGAUGUUGGGAGCCGCAGCCCCGAGCCCGGUCGCCUUACUUGGCGGACGUGAGGCCUGUGGUAAAGAGCAAAGCCUGAGUUAGAUUACCCCUCCCAUCGAGCGCAUUAGUUUCCUGCUUACCGCGUAAGCAACCCGCUCAACAAUAUAGUCUGCCUGGCAACUGAUGAUGUUAGCCAAUCAGCUUGCCUUGCUUACUUUAACAUGAUUGGACACUGUAUCCGUAUAUAUACUGGUGCCACCCCUGGGGGGGAAGAAGAAGCCCGGAAGUAGAAGCCUAGAAGGAGCCGCGGGGAGCGGACCAAAGGAGGCUUCGGCUGGGAGCGAUCCCAGGGCAGGCUGUACGGAGAAGGAAAAUAAAAGAAAAGGUUGUCCACUGCCA